rnacentral:rRNA from 1 species
UGCAGUCGACGCACUCGACCUUCGGGUCACAUGAGUGAGUGGCGAACGGGUGAGUAACACGUGAGAAACCUGCCCCGAAGACUGGAAUAACCCGAGGAAACUCGGGCUAAUACCGGAUAUCCCCACCGGGUCGCAUGGCCAGGUGAGGAAAUGCUCAGGCGCUUCGGGAGGGUCUCGCGGCCUAUCAGCUAGUUGGUGAGGUAACGGCUCACCAAGGCAACGACGGGUAGCUGGUCUGAGAGGACGAUCAGCCACACUGGGACUGAGACACGGCCCAGACUCCUACGGGAGGCAGCAGUGGGGAAUCUUGCGCAAUGGGCGAAAGCCUGACGCAGCCACGCCGCGUGAGGGAUGAAGGCUUUCGGGUUGUAAACCUCUUUCAGCAGGGACGAAAAUGACGGUACCUGCAGAAGAAGCUCCGGCCAACUACGUGCCAGCAGCCGCGGUAACACGUAGGGAGCAAGCGUUGUCCGGAUUUAUUGGGCGUAAAGAGCUCGUAGGCGGUUCGGUAAGUCGGGUGUGAAAACUUGAGGCUCAACCUCAAGAGGCCACUCGAUACUGCUGUGACUGGAGUCCGGUAGAGGAGUGUGGAAUUCCUGGUGUAGCGGUGAAAUGCGCAGAUAUCAGGAGGAACACCGACAGCGAAGGCAGCACUCUGGGCCGGUACUGACGCUGAGGAGCGAAAGCAUGGGGAGCAAACAGGAUUAGAUACCCUGGUAGUCCAUGCCGUAACGUUGGGCACUAGGUGUGGGGUCUAGCUAACAGAUUCCGUGCCGCAGCUAACGCAUUAAGUGCCCCCGCCUGGGGAGUACGGCCGCAGGU